GAGGUUGUGGCUCAGUGGUAGAGCACUUGCUGAGCAAGUGCAGGGCCCUGGGUUUAACCCUCAGCACCACA
rnacentral:tRNA from 1 species